GAUUCCUGACAGUAAAUUUGAUAGACUGAGUUCAAAUGAUGCUUGGCGGGGGUUUGAAGGCCCCAUGGUGCAUGCGGAUAGAGAGGAUAUAACUGAUUCUUCUGAUCAAAAUGCCACUGCUGGUGCAUCUAGCCGAACCUCAUCUGACACAAGACGCCGCCGCUUUAACAUGUCAUCUUAUAAACAACGGGCCGAAGCCCUGGAGGGACUACUUGAGUUCAGUGCUAGACUUGCCCCCUGGUGCAUGCGGAUAGAGAGGAUAUAACUGAUUCUUCUGAUCAAAAUGCCACUGCUGGUGCAUCUAGCCGAACCUCAUCUGACACAAGACGCCGCCGCUUUAACAUGUCAUCUUAUAAACAACGGGCCGAAGCCCUGGAGGGACUACUUGAGUUCAGUGCUAGACUCUUGCAAGAAGAUAGAUUUGAUGAACUUGGUGUCUUAUUGAAGC
rnacentral:lncRNA from 1 species